rnacentral:rRNA from 1 species
GACGAACGCUGGCGGCGUGCUUAACACAUGCAAGUCGAACGAAGUGGCGAACGGGUGAGUAACGCGUAUUCAACCUGCCCUUCCGAGGGGGACAACAGUUGGACACGAGUGCUAAUACCGCAUACUGAAGGAGGUGAUUGCGUCUGAUUAGCUAGUUGGAGGGGUAACGGCCAACCAAGGCGAUGCUCAGUAGCCGGUCUGAGAGGGUGAACGGCCACACUGGGACUGAGACACGGCCCAGACUCCUACGGGAGGCAGCAGUGGGGAAUCUUCCGCAAUGGACGGAAGUCUGACGGAGCAACGCCGCGUGAGUGAUGACGGCCUUCGGGUUGUAAAGCUCUGUUAAUCGGGACGCGGUACCGAAAUAGAAAGCAACGGCUAACUACGUGCCAGCAGCCGCGGUAAUUC